rnacentral:rRNA from 1 species
AUUGAACGCUGGCGGCAGGCUUAACACAUGCAAGUCGAGCGGGGGAAGGUAGCUUGCUACCGGACCUAGCGGCGGACGGGUGAGUAAUGCUUAGGAAUCUGCCUAUUAGUGGGGGACAACAUCUCGAAAGGGAUGCUAAUGCCGCAUACGUCCUACGGGAGAAAGCAGGGGAUCUUCGGACCUUGCGCUAAUAGAUGAGCCUAAGUCGGAUUAGCUAGUUGGUGGGGUAAAGGCCUACCAAGGCGACGAUCUGUAGCGGGCCUGAGAGGAUGAUCCGCCACAAUGGGACUGAGACACGGCCCAGACUCCUACGGGAGGCAGCAGUGGGGAAUAUUGGACAAUGGGGGGAACCCUGAUCCGGCCAUGCCGCGUGUGUGAAGAAGGCCUUAUGGUUGUAAAGCACUUUAAGCGAGGAGGAGGCUACUUUAGUUAAUACCUAGAGAUAGUGGACGUUACUCGCAGAAUAAGCACCGGCUAACUCUGUGCCAGCCGCCGCCGUAA